CUGUGAGGCAUGCUGGAGGUAUCAGAAGUGCGAAUGCUGACAUAAGUAACGAUAAAGCGGGUGAAAAGCCCGCUCGCCGGAAGACCAAGGGUUCCUGUCCAACGUUAAUCGGGGCAGGGUGAGUCGACCCCUAAGGCGAGGCCGAAAGGCGUAGUCGAUGGGAAACAGGUUAAUAUUCCUGUACUUGGUGUUACUGCGAAGGGGGGACGGAGAAGGCUAUGUUGGCCGGGCGACGGUUGUCCCGGUUUAAGCGUGUAGGCUGGUUUUCCAGGCAAAUCCGGAAAAUCAAGGCUGAGGCGUGAUGACGAGGCACUACGGUGCUGAAGCAACAAAUGCCCUGCUUCCAGGAAAAG
rnacentral:rRNA from 1 species